AUGGCGACGAGCGUGAUAGAAGACUCUUUUCCAUGGGAGCACCAGCGCUGGGUGUAUGUUUACGUAGUGGCUGGCGCGGUUCUGGUGUGGUGCGCCGUGAGGGCGCUGGAGUGGGCAUGGUGGAGGCCCCGGCACCUAGAGCGGGAGCUGCGGGCGCAGGGCCUCCGGGGCAGGGCAUACCACUAUGUCGCUGGCGACGCACCGUUUAUGGAGCGUCUCCAUAAGGAAGCCAGGUCCCAGACCAUGCCACUGGGCAGCCAUGACGUCGUGCCGCGGGCGAUGCCGCUGUUUCACCAGACCAUCAAGGAGCACGGUAAAAUGUCGAUCACUUGGUUUGGACCGGUGCCUUGGUUUGGACCGGUGCCUAGAGUGACCAUCACCGAGCCUGAACUGGUGCGUGAAGUUCUGUCCAACAAGUUGGGUCACCUUGAGAAGCUCAACCUGGGCCGACUUCAAAGGAUGCUGCACCACGGUGUGGGUAGCCAUGAGGGUGAAAAAUGGGUUAAGCACCGGAAGAUCAUCACCCCUGCCUUCCAUCUCGAGAAGCUCAAGCGCAUGUUGCCGGCUUUCGCCGCAUGUUGCACGGAGUUGGUGCAGAGAUGGGAGGUUCUAGCCGCCGGUGAUGCGCCAUGCGAGGUAGAUGUCUGGCCUGAUAUGAAGAAUCUGACAGGGGAUGUCAUCUCGCGGGCCGCAUUCGGCAGCAGUUACCAUGAAGGCAGGAAGGUAUUCCAGCUUCAGGGUGAGCAGAUCGAGCUCAUCGUGCAGGCCAUGGACAAGAUGCAUAUCCCUGGUUACCUGUUCUUGCCAACCAAAGGCAACCGAAGGAUGAAUCAGAUUGUUGCGGAGAUCGAGAGGGUCCUAAAAGGCAUUAUCGCGAAAAGAGAGAAGGCCUUGAAAGCCGGCGAAGCUACGAGUGGUGACGAUCUUCUCGGGCUGCUGCUGGAGUCCAACAUGGCACACUGCACGCCGGGAGAUGCCGGCAUCACGACGGAAGACCUGAUCGGAGAGUGCAAACUGUUCUACUUCGCGGGCAUGGAGACCACGUCCUUGCUGCUAACGUGGACCAUGAUCGUGCUCUGCAUGCACCCGGACUGGCAGGACCGUGCCAGGGAGGAGGUCCUGGAUGUCUUCGCCCACGGCAUGACGCCAGAUUAUGAUGGCUUAACUCGCCUAAAAAUCGUAACCAUGGUCUUGUACGAGGUGCUGCGGCUGUACACGCCGCUGACAUCGGUCCAUCGCAAGACGUGUAAGCCCAUGGACCUUGGCGGUGUCAGGUACCCGGCGGGCAUGUUGUUCAUGGUGCCAUUCCUGUGCCUCCACCACGACAAGAAUGUUUGGGGCGCGGACGCCGACGAGUUCAGGCCAGAGAGGUUCGCCAAUGGGAUCUCCAAGGCAGGGGUGUCGGGCGACGCGCUGCCCUUUUUUCCAUUCGGCUGGGGCCAGCGGACCUGCGUCGGCCAGAACUUCGCGAUGCUCGAGGCCAAGAUGGGGAUCGCCAUGAUUCUGCAGCGCUUCUCCUUCGAGCUCUCGCCGUCGUACACACACGCGCCGUUCCCCAUCGGCCUGCUGCACCCAGAGCACGGUGCGCAACUCAUGCUCACAAGGCUUCCGUGA
rnacentral:rRNA from 1 species